rnacentral:sRNA from 1 species
CCGGGGUGACAGGCUGACCUCCUCCAAUGCUCGGAACUGGAGCUCCGAUGGGUAGUCGCGAACGCACCCGAUCCGAGGACCUGCUCCAGUGCUCCAUUGGAAGGACAGUUGCUUCCCCAGCUGGUAUGACUUCGUGGCCUUCUUGCAGUUGAUACGGUUCAUGAUCAUCUCCUCUGGUACUUCCACCAGCUCAUCUUCUUCAUUGCCUUCCUCUGCAAACAGGUUCUUCUUGCAGAAGGCGAGGCACUCUCCGAACAUGGUGGAAUCCUCGUCGAUGUCCUUGUGAACCGGUGAUGGCCUUCCGUUGCAAUGUGUUGCGGGUAGUUCUGUGUUGUUGGAACUGAUCAGCAGCCUCGGAGGCCGCUUCCCUUGCAGCUUGUUGGCUGAGGUGGAUUUCCUGAUUGCCGGUGUGCUCGCCAUGGUUUCGGUGGAUGUCAUGGUGGGUGCAUCACUGCUGGUCUUGGUUUCGUCAGCGCCAUGGUGUUGUGUGACUUGCUGAAUUCGGCAUCAUCUUCACCUUCCGAAGGGUUCAACUGUAGCAAAACCGAAACACGGCACACCAAUCAGUUCAAAGGAAAACUCUAUUCAGUAUCUAUAAUUUCCUGCAGAUGAAUUGUGAUAUUAUUCACACUUCGGUUCUCACCAUAACAUCAGUCAGAUCCACAUUUCUCUCCUUCAGGAAAUUCAUGAACUCCUGAAAGUUCUGCUCUGUUGGCCGGUAAUGCCCACUGUGAGGCCAGACUGCCUGAAACAAACA